GCACCUGGAACAGGAACAUUCAGAAACAUUCCGAAAAGGUCGCAAAUGGAACUGCUUCUUAAUUUUGCUUUCUUAAUGAGAGUAACCUGAAUGCCUGCCGGAAGUUUGGAAAGACUUGGAAGAAGUCAAAUCUGCCCAGUAUUUUGUGUUGUGAAGCUAUAAAACGACAGCGACCUCCAUUGACCAUUGAUUCGAUUAGGGCAGUGUUCACCUUUGAGCCAGGCAUGUGAGGUGUGCAGGAAUGAAAGUUGAAAGAAUCUGGUUCUACACGCUUUAGGCUGGUUGAACUCGUUUUGGUAAAUAGUUUAACCUUAACCGGACUCGCACAGACUGACGUUCUUAAAUCGCCCUCAAUCAGAACUGGCCUCGGACAGGAAAUCACCGUACCUGCCGGUAGUUGUCCGUCUCCUGCACCCAGGCACACCGCUCUCCAGUGACUCGUCCCCUCCCACCAACUCUCACUUCGCUACAUACUUCUCCCUCUCUCAUUAGAAACGCCUCUUCUGCAACGACAUUUCAUUCCUCACUGUUGGCCUUUUGCCACUCCUCUUUCACAAGUGGUUCCUCCUUUUGCCAGCGAUGCCCUCCUCUCUCGAUGUGGGUUCCGCGAAUCUUUGGAUAGAGAGAGGCAGCGACCGGCACCAUCCCCUCCACCGCCAGCAUGGCUUCGUACACUUACGGGGACAGACAACAAUAUUUGCAUCUGUUGAACAGGGAAGCGGGUGCUGGUGAAGCAAGGACGACUGUACCACAGUACAAAAGGAAUUCAUUGACCCACAUGCGGCAAUCCAUUUCCACACCAACAUACCACACCAACAUUCCAUUUAGCUUUGAACCUGUGGAGCCCCUGGAUUUUGAGGCGCACGUAGCAGAUCAGUUGGCAAAUCCCGAGGUGGAGUCACUUCAGCACCUGGUGGACUUCCCAAAGGACGACAUCGAAGUCACCCUGUCUUCUCGAGAGUAUCGGACAGUGACUCCUGCUGAGCCAGACAGCUGGGAAAACCUGACUCCACAGGUGAGAUCAUGUGUGGAGACCUACACCAAGAAAUGGCUGACAGUAACCAGGAGGUAUCAGAAGUGCAACAGGGAAAGUCGGAGCAAAGAGCUGAACCUCCCUCGUCAGAUCUUUGAAUGCGAUGAGAGCUUUAAUUUGGAAAUGCAAGGCACCCAGAGCUCAGCUGGAUCUCAGAACGAUGAGCUACAGCCCGAGACACCAGAACUCUUCAUUCAGCAACUGUUGCAACCUACGACAAAGGAGGAGGUUGAUCUGAGGAACAAGGACAUGCGUAAAUCUGACAGGCUGGUUGAUAUGUAUAUGGUCUAUCCCCCGCCUGAUGAGGAGGAAUCUGGGUACAGUCGAAUCACUCCACCGCCCCCAUGUGAUCAAUUGGAGCAGAGAUUGCAACUUCAUUUUCUGGAGUUAAAAUUUGAAAUCGAAAUUGAACCACUCUUUGUGACUUUAGCUUUCUAUGAUUUAAAGGAAAGGAGAAAGAUUUCAGAAAACUUUCACUUGGAUCUUAAUUCUAAAGAAUUUCGAGGUAUUAUCCAGGCAGAUGGUGAAGAUUCAUCUUACUUCAAAAAGGCCAUCUUCUCAGUUUCUCAUCACUCUGCUGAAAUCUACCUGGUCAUCAAGGUGGAGAAGGUUCUACAGCAGGGCAGCAUUGCUGAAUGUGCCGAGCCAUAUAUGAGUAUUAAAGAGUGCGAAACAGCCAAGAGUAAAGAAAAGAUUGGAAAACUUCGGUUCCAGGCAGCUUCCUUCUGCCAACGCCUGAAGUCCUAUCGGAUGCCUUUUGCUUGGGCGGCUAUUGAUUUCACCAGCCUGAUUUCCAACAGUGGAUCCCAGAAUUCACUGGACAAAGAAGCCAACAGUGGAGGCACUGGGACUGAAGCGCACUCGCACUCACUGGACAGCAAAUGCAACAUCCCCUUAUUACGACCUAGACAGUAUAUUCUCAACGUGUUCAAUAAACAGGAAGAAGAUAAACUAAGUGAUGAAGACCUGAUGAAGUUUAUUGCAGAUGAGAAAAAAACAUCUACUUUAUUGAGGCGACAGCGGAGAAUUCCAGGAGUUUUUCGAUUCACUGUGUCCCAUAUUAACGAAGCACCGGCCUUCUGCUUUAACCCCGACUUUUUGGAAGUAAGGCCAUCUAACGGGGAGAACAGAGAUCUGGCGUUGGAAGUUUUAGAAUUCCCUGUGUCAGGAAUUUCUGUUCCUCAUACAACAUACAGAAAUCUUCUCUAUGUCUACCCUCAGUUCCUCAAUUUCUCAAACCGACAGGGAUCAGCACGAAACAUCACCAUGAAAAUCCAGUUCCUGGAGAGUGAGGAGCCUGGUGCGGCCUUACAGGUCAUUUUUGGAAAAUCUGGAUAUCCUGAAUACACAACUGAAUCGUAUACACCUGUGGCCUAUCACAGCAAGAGUCCUUGCUUCCAUGAGGAAGUGAAGAUGAAGCUGCCUUCAAGUCUCACCAAGAAGCAUCAUUUACUCUUUACCUUCUAUCACGUGAACUGUCAGCCCAAGCAGAGCCAGGACACACCGGAGGUUCCAUUGGGUUACAGUUGGUUACCAAUCCUGGACAAGGGACAUUUGCGUUCUGGUUCGUUUGAGCUUCCUGUCUGUUUGGACAGACUUCCAUUCCAGUAUUCAGUAGCCUCUACCUCAAUGGCGGGGGUGAAGUGGUUGGAUAAUCGGAAAUCAGUAUUUAAAUUGGAGCUACGGCCAUUUUCGACAAUAUACCCUGAGGACAGAAGCCUGGAGCAGUUCUUCUCACUGUGCGACAAUGUGGGUAAACACCAUUCUGUAGCCCAGCAGACAGAGGCACUGAGAAGGGCGGUUACUGCGAUCAACCAGGUUCAUCUGGAAGAACUUGUCCCAUUCCUGCAUGUGGUGUUAGACAAACUGCUGCCACUACUGAUCUUGAGCUCCAGGAUGACAUCAGAAAGAGUUCCAGUCGGCAGACAUAUCUUUGAAACACUCAUCAAAAUUGUGGACUGGCUCCAGAAUACUGAGGAAAUGACGAAAGACUCUCUGGGACGAAACCAAUCCCUGGCUACGUACAUUCACUACUUGUUCAGCGUACCAGUUCUUCCUGAGGCUGAAGUCACAGAGUCUGAGAAGUAUGCCACGGUCAAGCCAGAGGGGAUAACUGCGUUUCACAAGACGCAUCGGCUUAGCUCAAGUGAUCCUGAGCUGCAGACAUCGAAGCUCACUGUGCCCACAGCGGGCAGUAGUCUGAAGUCUUCAAAGCUAUUUCAUGAGGAAUUGGUUUAUCAUAUUGUCUUUGCCAGUGGAAAGAUGAGAGAUCAUGUGUACAAGCAUCUGUGGUUUUUCUGCGAGCUUUUGAUUAAAAGUAUGAGUCAGUACCUUUCUGACACAGACCGCUGGAGCACUCCACCCAGCCUGCGGUUCUCGGAGUAUUUCCUGAGCAUCAUUUACCCCAUGGUCAACAUAGCUACAGAGUAUGUGAAGCAACAGGAUCCUGAUGUUACAGAUGUAACAAACCUGAGUCUUGGCUUUUUUCUGAAUGACCUGCUGUCCCUCAUGGACCGAGGCUUUGUCCUUCGUUUGAUUGGUCAUCAUCAUAAAGAGCUUUCAGAUAAAAGUAGCAAAUGGCCGCACCUCCAUGAAAGGCGCAUCGACUUCCUGAGGAUCGUCUGCAGCCAUGAGCAUUUUGUCAUCGUAAACUUCCCGCUUACAGCAAGCGUUGGGGCACAAGACGGCGACAAUCACAUGGAGAAUGUCAUCACACAUGAGACAACUGUUGGGAUCUUCAAACUUUCCAGAAAAUUCCGUCAGCAGCACUUUUUAAUUGGGCUCCUCCUAGAAGAGAUCAUCAGUGUACUGACAAGUGAUUCAGAGAGGUUGAUCAGACGAGAAGCAGUAAGCUUGCUUCAUUAUCUCCUGGCGUCACACGAUGGGGAUCAAAGAUUCGGGAACAUCAGGACGAAGGUGAAAGUGGCAGCCUUGUACCUACCGCUCCUGGACGUUAUCCUGAAUAGUGUCAGCCAACUGCAGAACAUGGCGGAUUCUGACAACUCAAGGAAUAAAUUGCUUAAGUCGUAUCCAAAUCUCAGGAAUUCCACCAGCGGCAUGAUAACAUCACCAGCUGUGCCCCCCUCAACGAACAGACACUCGUACCCCAUUUCAGGGCCCCUAGGUCCAAGUUCCAUCGCGUUGGAAAUGACCCAGACCCUCCUAUUUUGCUUUCUGUGGGUUCUGAAGAAUGCAGAUGAAACGGCCCUUGAAGAAUGGAUCCUGGGGCUUCCAGCCCAGCGGUUGUUCAGCCUUCUGCAGCUCCUUGACCUCUGUGUGUCCACCUUUGAGUAUGAGGGCCAGCCGUCCACGGAACAGAUCAGCAGCCUCAUCUAUAGGAAGUCCAGAGACAUGAAGUUACGGCUCGAGGAGAACAUUUUUGGAACCACAGGAGCCCGGCGGGAAAUGAUGAACCGCCGGGAAUAUACAGGAAUUGACAGGUGGUUCUCAGGGAUGGGCCUUCAUGAGAAGUUACGCUGGAGAAAGGACCUGACGCAAUGGCGCCAACCUAUUGGCAGAGAAAAGUUGAAGUUGGAACUGGAGCAGGAAGCCUUGAUCAAUGGGAACCUAACUGUGGAGACCAACCUGAUUGUGUUAGAUACCCUGGAGCUGUUGAUCCAGCUGAGCGGCCCAAUGCCCGAGUUCAAGUCUGUGGUCACAGGGGUCCUGAAGGUCUUGUUUCACAGCUUGUCCUGCAACCAGAGCAUCCUGUACCUAAAAAACUGUUUCAACACCCAGCGGGCCAUCAUCGCAAAGUUUCCGGAGGCCCUGUUUGAGGAGGACUCGGAGCAUCCCAUGGACCUGUGCUUGCUGCUGCUACAAAAAUGCACGAGUCAUUUCCAGAGUACACGGGUCCAGGCCUCGGCCUCCCUCUACCUGCUCAUGAGGCAGAGCUACAGCGCAUAUUUUCCACAAGCUAAAAUGUACAUUACCAUAAGCCUGGCAUCCUUGGCGGAGAAACUAUCCAACCAGGAUAAGCGAUGUCUCCAGACAUCCCUUGGUAUGAUCCAAACUUAUCUGGGAACAGACAGGGCCAUGGAGAGAACCAGUUUCCCUGGGCAGGUGAAAGAGCUUUUGCAGAAUUUGAAUGGAGUAUUGUGUGACAUAGUGAAGCUGCAGGAAUUCCCCCAUGAUGUGGACAUGCAGAUUGACCUCAUGUACAGGACUGCAAAAGGUUUGCAGAGUUACGUGGACCUUCGCCUGAUGUGGCUGCGGAACAUCGUGACGAAGCACAUUGCGAGGAAGUGCUUUGCCGAGGCUGCCCACUGUGUGGUGCACAGUGCUGCCCUGGUGGCUGAAUAUCUGAACCGCGUGGAUGGAUCUGUCCACCUGCCCAUGGGCAGUGUGAGCUUUCAGAAAAUUUCCGUCAAUGUCCUGGAGGAAUCUCUGGUGUUAGAAGAGGUCUUUUCCAUGGAGAGGGAGGGUAUUUGGACGGGAAACUUGUUCAGUGAAGAGGGUCUCUUGGAGUUGUUGGAUGAGGCGGCUAAACUCUUCAACAAGGCAGAACUCUACGAAGCCGUUUAUGAAAUUUACAAACUGAUUAUUCCAAUUGCUGAAUUCCGUCGGAAUAUUAAAAAACUAUCUGCUAUUCACGGAGCCCUGAAGGAGACGUUUGAUCUGAUCCUGCGUGAGGAUAAUAAGAGAAUGUUUGGGACAUAUUUUCGUGUUGGAUUCUACGGGUCACUGUUUGGAGAGCUGGACGAGCAGGAGUACGUCUACAAGGAACCGGGGAUCACUAAACUGGUGGAGAUCUCCUCGAGGUUAGAGGAAUUUUACAAGCAGAUGUUUGGAAAAGAUCGUGUGGAGAUUAUCAAGGAUUCUUCACCAGUUAAGAAGGAGAGCCUGGAGCCCAAUAAGGGCUACAUCCAGGUGACCUACGUGGAGCCAUUCUUCGAAGCGUAUGAGCUGAAAAACCGAGUCAGCAACUACGAGAGGAACUCUAACCUGAGGCAGUUUAUCUACAGCACCCCAUACACACUAAAUGGUCGGGCCCACGGGGAGCUUAGCCAGCAGUAUAAGCGUAAAACCAUCCUGACAACCUUGCACGCUUUUCCAUACAUCAAGACCAGGAUCAAUGUGAUAGAGAAACAGGAGAUUAGCCUGAGACCAAUUGAAGCCGUGAUUGAGGACAUGCAGAAGAAGACCUACGAGCUGGCAAAGGCAACAAGUGCAGACCCACCCAACCUGAAGCUGCUGCAAAUGGUGCUGCAGGGGUCCGUGGGCCCCACCGUCAAUCAGGGCCCAUUGGAAGUCGCUCAAGUGUUUUUGUCAGAAAUCCCUGAUGAUCCCAAGCUUUUCAGACACCACAACAAACUUCGCAUCUGCUUCAAGGACUUCCUGAAACGAUGUGAAGACGCUCUCGUCAAAAACAAGGGCCUGAUCUCGUCUGAACGAGUGGAAUAUCAGUGUGAACUUGAGAAGAACUAUGAAGCCCUCAGACACAAUCUACAACCAUUCAUUAACCGAAGGAUCCCUUGCCUUUAUGUCACACCUUGUCAGUAGGCAUCUCGAGAGGGGAACAUUUGGCAUUAACUCAUGAAGUUGUAGAGUCACACAGUGUUUCAAGCACGGGACAGGCCCUUUGGCACACAAUGUCCAUGCCAACGACUCUACUUGCCUGUAAAUGGUUUGCUACACACUUUGUAAAUGUGUGAGAAGCUGCUUUCGUCACCUACUGAGGCAACACACUCCAGAUUUCAUCCACUCUCUGUGAAAAAGUUUCCCUUUCAGAUCCCCUCUGAACCGCAUACCUUUGCCCCUGUUUCUCAGACACUGUUAGAACAAUAUUACUAAGAUGUGCAAACAAGACACACAAAAUGCUGGAGGAACUCAGCAGGCCAGGCAGCAUCUGUGAGGAAAAAAGGACAGAUUUUCUCUUGUUCAUCAUUAAGAUAAGUGAACACAUAAGUAUGGAUCAAAUCUACAUUUUUAAAGCACAGCAGUAAAAAUAAUUCCUGCAGAAGCCUAGCUGGUCAUGUACCAAUUUGAUGGGUCCACCUGCUGAUUAAGCGAAGCGCUCUAGGAGAUGGCGGCAUUCAAUGGUGUUACUCUGCCCCCUUGUGGAGAAGGCGGGAAGCGUCAGAAAAGUAAAUCCCACUCCAGAGGAUUGGAACGGUACAGAAUCCAGUUACUCUUUAUACCCAAACUCUAUUUAUUGGUAUAAUCCAGUCUCUGAAUGACUUUUGUCCAGAUGAAUGCCUAUUCCCUUGCCUGAAAGGGAGGUGGGAGAGGAUUCAAUAGCAAUUAACAAAGAGACCUGAAAGUAAACUUGAAAAUUAGGAGAAAAACUGGAUUGCUGGCACAGCUUUUCAAAUGACCAUCCACACUUUGUAGAUUGCAAUUGAAACAUUAGCAAAGAUUAAGGAGGGGAAAUCAUAAUUUUACAUUAAAAGGAUUUAUCAUAUUUGUUUAAAAUCAAAUCUGUUUACAAACUUGAGAAGAGUGUGCAGAUUCUCUGCACACACGCGCGCACACACACACACACACACACACACACACACGCACACACGCACGCGCGCGUACACAAUGCUGAAGGAUCUCAGCAAGUCAGGCAGCAGCAUGAUGUUGCCAGAUCUACCACUUAGUCAGGUUGUUAUUCUAGCCUUGUUCCUCGGCAUGGAUCCUGCUAACUCCAGCACAGUGUGAAAUUGUGCUUUGAGCCAUUCAAUGUGAUUUCUCCAUCAACCACUAGGAGGCAGAACCAAACAAGGGUCAGCUUUCCAUGUGGCUGGUACUUGGGCCUUGAUAUUUGUGUUUUUAAUUGAACUUCGUUAAUGUUAAUGCUUUUAAUUUCAGAUUGCAGGAACCAGGUUACUCUUAUAAAUCUUGCAACUUGCAACAUUCACCCUGCACUUCUGUAACUGAGUUUGUUUAGAGACCACCCACUCUCAUUUUGAAACAGUCACUUUUGUUAAUGUCCAAAACAGUAUCAUGCUCUUUGCUUUGGGCACUGUGGUCACUCAAGGUCUCAUGGUUCCUCAUUCACAGUAGAUUUGCUGUGUGGAAAGGACCACUCACCCGUCCACAGGUACUUCUCGAUAUUGGAAGCUGCCUCGAAACUUGAACUGCCAUCACACACUAUCUCUGAUACGUUGGGAGAGGUGCUCUGCAGUUGUUGCCUUUUUGGCACUGGGGCUUAUGUGGUUAUCCAAACUCGUUACUCUGCAGAGGAAAGGUAGUUAUCCUCGAGGGCCCCACUUCACUGGCCCCAGGCCAGCUGAGUGAAGUAACAAACUGAAGAAAUGUCCGACUGCCAUGACAUCUAGCUGUCGUCCGCAGUGAGACUUUACUGUAUGACUCAAGCUAUCACUCCAACUGUAGAAAACUUUACCUACCAAAACUUCGUUAAGUCGUUCAACUGGUUACAGUAAAAGUUUGAGCAGCUGGCAGGAAAUUGAAGCCAACAGACAAACAAGACUAAUCAUUCCUCAGGGAGGUCUAAAUGAAGGGAAAAGGUACUGGCAAAGGGAUUGUUUAAACAGCCAAAUAGUGGACAACAUUCUGGAAGAAAAUAAGCUCAGCAGGGCCUGGCACCAUGAGGAUCUCUCACCAGUUUGCAUCAAGAUAAAGUCUUCAUAUUGCCAAUGGACUAUCAUUCCUGUAAUGAUUGAAGCGGUUAGAAAUUAGGUUGGGAACUCAAUCUGACAGAUUCAGUAGUUGCCAAGGCUUUCUCCUUAUUGCAGGACAGGUGUCUGGAACAGUGGGCUGAGGUGUUGCUGUCUGGAGUAAGUACCAGGGUAUAAGUGUGUCAUUCUCAGAUUCUGGGUGUUGGGGGGGGGGGGGGUCAUAGAGAUAUACCACAUGGAAACAAUCCAUCAGAUAUCUACACUGAGUAUUUACACCAAUCCCAUUUAAUUCACCCCAUAAUCCCAUCAAUACCAUACACCUACACAUAAAGGCCACUUUACUAUGACCAAUUAAUUUACUAUCCUAUGUGUCUUUGGGAAGUAGGAAGAAGAUUAGGAGAGUAGGAGGAAGCCCACAUAGGCACUGGCAAACUCCACAGAGGCAGCAUCUGAGGUUAGCAUUGACCCUGGGUCUCUAGAAAUGGGAGGCAGUGGCUCUGUCCACCAUGAGACUCUGCUCACAUAAAUAAUGAACAUAUUACAUUUUAUUUUCUAUUAAGAUUCAAAGAUGAAGCCCAGUAACUUGCCCAUCCACCAGUCCAGUUGUUCAGCAAAAAACUGGAUCAUCUCCACAUCUUUGCCCGUCUACAUUAAUCCCAUUUUUCCACAUUAGAUCUUCAUCGCUUUACGACAUGUCUACUUAAGAACUCUUAUCCUAAAUAAAAUGAUUGUGUCCAACUCCACCACCUCCUUAGACAGUGAAUUCCAAUUAUCAGUCAGUUCAUGCAAAAGAUUUUAUCCUCCAAUCCCUUGAAAAACUCCUCCCUCUCACUUUAAACCCAUGCCCUUGCCUUUGAUUCCCCUACCAUGUGAAAUAGAUUUGACCAUCUAUCCCUCUGUUGGAUCUUAUUCAGUACUGUCGAUUGUAAUUUUCCUCCCUCAUCCAAUUCACAACUAUUUCUAUAACGCUACAAGUAUUACCUAUAGCAAAGGCUGAUGCUAAAUCCCCUUUUAAGUCAUUGUUCAUCUACUUUCCAUUUUAAAUUUCUCAAAUUGUCUUCUUUUCGAUCUAUAGAAACUGUUACUGUUAGAUUUUGUGUUUCUAGCUUCUACAUUGAAGUUUUCUGGUGCAUUCUGAUAUGUCCCUAAAAGUCUGCCAUUGCAUCCCAGCUGACUGAUCCCUUUAAUCUAAUUUUUCAGUUCACUUUAGUAAGCUUUCAUGGUCUCAGCUGCCCUUAUUUAAGUUUCAGGGAUCGGUUUUGGAGUUCCUCUCUCACCGAAUACAAAACUCUGCUCUAUUCUUUUCACAGCUACCCAGACACUCUCGCAAUUGGAUCAUUCACUAAUCCUGUCUCACUGCAGAAAACCCUGUCAAACAUAGCUUGCUCGUUUGUUCUCCUAAACUCAUUGUUCCAAUAUAUUUUUAAAAAUCAUGAACUCUUUCACCCCUGCUAUUUUUAUCCAUCUUCCUUUCCCCAGAGUACACAUAGUUUAAAAACAAACUGCUGUAGGAACUCAACAGGUCAAGCAGCAUUUGUGGAGGAAAAGAGGCUGCAUCAGACCAGUCCAGAUUUAAGGCCUCACCCAAAAUGUUAACUAUCCCUUUGCUGCUCAAACUGCCGAGUCCACAAACAAACUGCUGGAGGAACCUAGCAGGUCCCGCAGCAUCCAUGGAAAGGAAUAAACAGUUGAUGUUUCAGACCGAGAGUCAUCAUCGAGACUGCCCAGCUCCUCCAGCGUUUUGUGUGUGUUACUUCCAGUUUACAGGACUCGGGGGAUGAUAUUUCUGUUGACAGUCUAAAAUACAGCACUGAGGAAAUUUGGUCACAAUUUUACAGCCCCACUGUCCACUCCUGGCAAGAGAACAUUUGCUUGAGAUCUCAGAUGCUGCAGUUGUGGGCAUCUACAAGAAAGGACAAGAAGUCACCCUGUUGUCUGCCACAGGGAAGGUCGUCAGAGUCCUCCUCAACUGCAGCCUCUCGGUGGCUGAAGAGCUGCUCCCUCAAUCACCUUGUGGAUUCUGUCUAUCAGAGGCCGUUGAACACUACCUUUACAAGUUCUAGGAAAAUGCAGGGGGGGGGGGGUACCAGCCAAUAUAACUGGCCUGAUUUUAACCACUCUAAAGCCUCUCUCUCAGGAAAGGCUAUAGAACACCAUCUUCAACCAACUGAGAACUGCCUUUAUCAUGUCUGCUCCACAGUGACAAUAAUUAGUAGGUCUACAACAAAACCAAUCUCAGAGAGGAGUAGUGUCAGACAAACUUCUCAAUCUUUCUUUCAUUGUAUCUCCAAUAAACUUCCUGUGGGAGUGAAGUUAACCUUCAGAACCAGCAGUGACUAAAACAAUCAUCCCCAGCCUCCCAUUCUGGUAGUCAAGCUGCAGUGUGAAGAUAAUUAUUUCUUCUAAUCAUUUUUUUUGCAUGUAAUACUCAGCUUCUUCAUACCCACUUAGAAGCCAAAUUUCCAAACUAUUGUCAAUGUUUUCACUAAAGCCGAGGAGAGAAUGACCCAAAAACACACCAGCCACAGGACUGAAGUCCUCUAUAUCCUGUCCCCCCUGUACAAUAAAAGUGAGACCCUGGAAAAUGUGAACUGCUCCCCAUAUCUCAGGAACCGUGUCUCGGCGAAGGCUGGCAUGGAGGCAAAAUUCAUCAUUACCUUCAAUACACCAGCUCAGCUUUCAGUUAAUUGAGGAAAAUGAUAUGUCAAGAGGCUUGGCACUAAGCUGACAGUCCACUGGCAGCAGUGAUUCUUGCUCAGGGGACUUGGGCAACCCAGAGGGGUUAUCUCAAGGUUUAUGCUGGUACUGUUGUUCGAAGAAAUGGAACAUCUCCAUUGACUUCUGGAACCAUUAU